rnacentral:rRNA from 1 species
GACGGAGGAUGCAAGUGUUAUCCGGAAUCACUGGGCGUAAAGCGUCUGUAGGUGGUUUAAAAAGUCCACUGUUAAAGGUUGAAGCUUAACUUCAAAAAUGCCGUGGAAACUUUUAAACUUGAGUAUGAUAGGGGUAGAGGGAAUUUCCAGUGGAGCGGUGAAAUGCGUAGAUAUUGGAAAGACCACCGAUGGCGAAGGCACUCUACUGGGCCAUUACUGACGCUGAGAGACGAAAGCUAGGGGAGCAAAUGGG